AAAAAAUUGAACAUGGCUACACCUGAAAAUGAACAUAGCACUUAGUCUUGAUGCAAUUUUUAAUUUUUGAAAAAAUUUUUAGGUGAUUCAGUCUGGACCAAAAAAUUAAGGAAAAAGUCUGCUGACACAGGAGGGAAAUGUGCCAGGCUGAUUUAGUAGGUUUUGGAGAAAGGAUUCAAGAAAAAAAGAUGAAGAAUCAUUCAUUCCUGAAACUACAGCUGACCUUAUGACUCCAGAGGAAAAAGAUAAACUCUUUCCUGCUAUUGGUUAUAGUGAGAACACUUUAACUUAACUUUACCCAAGCAGUAUGUUGCCCACAUAAUGACCCUGAAGUUAGUAAGCGCCUCUGUCACACUCAGAGAAAACAAAAAUAUUCCAGAAAUACUAAAAUUCAGAUAAUUGACCUGGGCACCCAUGUAUCUCAGCGACCAGGAGCACAAGCUCUAAGACAACCAUCAAUGCAGUGCUUGAAUUCUUUCGAUCAAACAAGGGUUUGGAUCUUGAGCAAAUAACAUCAGCUACGUUGACAAAGCUGGAAGAAGUUAAAGCAAGAACAGCUAAGGUGAGUUUGAUUGUCUACAUAAGCAUCAGUUGUAAACAGUAUAUGUAAAGUAGAAUAGGUUGCUUUUUUUCUGUUGUAAACUGGUGUUGUAUUGUUCAGUGGUCA
rnacentral:lncRNA from 1 species